rnacentral:tRNA from 1 species
GCCUGGCUGGCUCAGUUAGUUAAGCGGCUGACUUUGGCUCAGGUCAUGAUCUCACAGUCUGUGGGUUCAAGCCCCAUGUUGGGCU